rnacentral:rRNA from 1 species
AUUGAACGCUGGCGGCAUGCUUUACACAUGCAAGUCGGACGGCAGCACAGAGGAGCUUGCUUCUUGGGUGGCGAGUGGCGCACGGGUGAGUAACGCAUCGGAACGUACCGAGUAAUGGGGGAUAACUGUCCGAAAGGACAGCUAAUACCGCAUACGCCCUGAGGGGGAAAGCGGGGGAUCUUAGGACCUCGCGUUAUUCGAGCGGCCGAUGUCUGAUUAGCUGGUUGGCGGGGUAAAGGCCCACCAAGGCGACGAUCAGUAGCGGGUCUGAGAGGAUGAUCCGCCACACUGGGACUGGGACACGGCCCAGACUCCUACGGGAGGCAGCAGUGGGGAAUUUUGGACAAUGGGCGCAAGCCUGAUCCAGCCAUGCCGCGUGUCUGAAGAAGGCCUUCGGGUUGUAAAGGACUUUUGUCAGGGAAGAAAAGGGGCAUGUUAAUACCGUGCUCUGAUGACGGUACCUGAAGAAUAAGCACCGGCUAACUACGUG